rnacentral:lncRNA from 10 species
UGGUGCCCUUGUAAGAAGAGACAACAGAGAUCUCUCUCUCUCUGUGAGCACAAAGAGAAGAGGCCAUGUGGAGACACAGGGAGAAAGCAACAGUCUACAAGCCAGGAAGAGAGUUCUCACCAGAAACCAACUUGAUGGCACCUUGCUCUUAGACUUCUAGCCUCCAGAAUGGGCCUGAUGCAGAAGUGCUUCUCCUUCCCCUUGCCCCUGGACCUGAGCCGGAGCUGUCUAUCUACAUGAGGACACCAUCUGGCAACACUGAAAUGUUGCCCUCACUGUAUGCCAUCACCAGGAAGACAAGCAAUAGAUGAUGAGUGAAAAUAAA